rnacentral:rRNA from 1 species
UCAAGAACCAAUGCCCCUCGGGGCUGCCCGGUGAUUCAUGAUAACUAGUCGAAUCGCACGGCCUUGCGCCGGCGAUGGUUCAUGCAAAUUUCUGCCCUAUCAACUUUCGACGGCUGGGUCUUGGCCAGCCGUGGUGACAACGGGUAACGGAGGGUUAGGGCUCGACCCCGGAGAAGGAGCCUGAGAGACGGCUACUACAUCCAAGGUAGGCAGCAGGCGCGCAAAUUACCCAAUCCCGACACGGGGAGGUAGUGACAAUAAAUACAAGCC